UACGGGGGGGGCAAGCGUUGUUCGGAAUUACUGGGCGUAAAGGGCUUGUAGGCGGCCAACUAAGUCAGACGUGAAAUCCCUCGGCUUAACCGGGGAACUGCGUCUGAUACUGGAUGGCUAGAGAUUGGGAGAGGGAUGCGGAAUUCCAGGUGUAGCGGUGAAAUACGUAGAUAUCCGGAGGAACACCAGUGGCGAAGGCGACUUUCUGGCCUGUUCUUGACGCUGAGGCGCGAAAGCUAGGGGAGCAAACGGG
rnacentral:rRNA from 1 species